rnacentral:rRNA from 1 species
CCUACGGGAGGCAGCAGUGAGGAAUAUUGGUCAAUGGGAGAGAUCCUGAACCAGCCAAGCCGCGUGAGGGAAGACGGCCCUAUGGGUUGUAAACCUCUUUUGUCGGAGAACAAAACCCGGGACGUGUCCCGGACUGCGUGUAUCCGAAGAAAAAGCAUCGGCUAACUCCGUGCCAGCAGCCGCGGUAAUACGGAGGAUGCGAGCGUUAUCCGGAUUUAUUGGGUUUAAAGGGUGCGUAGGCGGUCCGUUAAGUCAGCGGGAAAAUUGCGGGGCUCAACCCCGUCGAGCCGUUGAAACUGGCAGACUUGAGUUGGCGAGAAGUACGCGGAAUGCGCGGUGUAGCAGUGAAAUGCUUAGAUAUCGCGCAGAACCCCGAUUGCGAAGGCAGCGUACCGGCUCCACACUGACGCUGAGGCACGAAAGCGUGGGUAUCGAACAGGAUUAGAUACCCGAGUAGUC